CCUACGGGGGGCAGCAGUGAGGAAUAUUGGUCAAUGGGCGAGAGCCUGAACCAGCCAAGUCGCGUGAGGGAAGACGGUCCUAUGGAUUGUAAACCUCUUUUGCCGGGGAGCAAAAAGCGGUACGUGUACCGCACCGAGAGUACCCGUAGAAAAAGCAUCGGCUAACUCCGUGCCAGCAGCCGCGGUAAUACGGAGGAUGCGAGCGUUAUCCGGAUUUAUUGGGUUUAAAGGGUGCGCGAGCGGCGAGUUAAGUCAGCGGUAAAAUUUCGGGGCUCAACCCCGACGAGCCGUUGAAACUGGCUUGCUAGAGUGGGCGAGAAGGAUGCGGGAUGGGGGGUGUAGCGGUGAAAUGCAUAGAUAUCAAGGAGAACUCCGGUUGCGAAGGCAGCAAACCGGCGGCCAACUGACGGUCAGGGACGAAAGCGUGGGGAUCGAACAGGAUUAGAUACCCGUGUAGUC
rnacentral:rRNA from 1 species